rnacentral:rRNA from 1 species
UCAGGCUUACACAUGCAAGUCGAGGGGCAGCAUGGUCUUAGCUUGCUAAGGCCGAUGGCGACCGGCGCACGGGUGAGUAACACGUAUCCAACCUGCCGUCUACUCUUGGACAGCCUUCUGAAAGGAAGAUUAAUACAAGAUGGCAUCAUGAGUCCGCAUGUUCACAUGAUUAAAGGUAUUCCGGUAGACGAUGGGGAUGCGUUCCAUUAGAUAGUAGGCGGGGUAACGGCCCACCUAGUCUUCGAUGGAUAGGGGUUCUGAGAGGAAGGUCCCCCACAUUGGAACUGAGACACGGUCCAAACUCCUACGGGAGGCAGCAGUGAGGAAUAUUGGUCAAUGGGCGAGAGCCUGAACCAGCCAAGUAGCGUGAAGGAUGACUGCCCUAUGGGUUGUAAACUUCUUUUAUAAAGGAAUAAAGUCGGGUAUGGAUACCCGUUUGCAUGUACUUUAUGAAUAAGGAUCGGCUAACUCCGUGCCAGCAGCCGCGGUAAUACGGAGGAUCCGAGCGUUAUCCGGAUUUAUUGGGUUUAAAGGGAGCGUAGAUGGAUGUUUAAGUCAGUUGUGAAAGUUUGCGGCUCAACCGUAAAAUUGCAGUUGAUACUGGAUAUCUUGAGUGCAGUUGAGGCAGGCGGAAUUCGUGGUGUAGCGGUGAAAUGCUUAGAUAUCACGAAGAACUCCGAUUGCGAAGGCAGCCUGCUAAGCUGCAACUGACAUUGAGGCUCGAAAGUGUG